GACGAACGCUGGCGGCGUGCUUAACACAUGCAAGUCGAACGGAAAGGCCCUGCUUUUGUGGGAUGCUCGAGUGGCGAACGGGUGAGUAACACGUGAGUAACCUGCCCUUGACUUUGGGAUAACUUCAGGAAACUGGGGCUAAUACCGGAUAGGAGCUCCUGCUGCAUGGUGGGGGUUGGAAAGUUUCGGCGGUUGGGGAUGGACUCGCGGCUUAUCAGCUUGUUGGUGGGGUAGUGGCUUACCAAGGCUUUGACGGGUAGCCGGCCUGAGAGGGUGACCGGCCACAUUGGGACUGAGAUACGGCCCAGACUCCUACGGGAGGCAGCAGUGGGGAAUAUUGCACAAUGGGCGGAAGCCUGAUGCAGCAACGCCGCGUGCGGGAUGACGACCUUCGGGUUGUAAACCGCUUUCGCCUGUGACGAAGCGUGAGUGACGGUAAUGGGUAAAGAAGCACCGGCUAACUACGUG
rnacentral:rRNA from 1 species